GAAUUUCUGCCUUGUUCGACUUAGUAUAGUUUUUAUAAUCCAACACAUCUUUUAAGGGAAUUCAGCUCCGGUUGUGGAUUGCAGACCUCCCAUUUUUAUGGACGAAGGGAGCGUGAAUCAAUCGGGCGUUUACCCACCUGCUUCGUGCGGGUUUUAUACGCUAUAUGACGGCAAGGCGGAUUUUUU
rnacentral:other from 1 species